rnacentral:rRNA from 1 species
CAGUCGAACGAAGCACUCUAUUUGAUUUUCUUCGGAAAUGAAGAUUUUGUGACCGAUUGGCGGACGGGUGAGUAACGCGUGGGUAACCUGCCUCAUACAGGGGGAUAACAGUUGGAAACGACUGCUAAUACCGCAUAAGCGCACAGGAUCGCAUGAUCCGGUGUGAAAAACUCCGGUGGUAUGAGAUGGACCCGCGUCUGAUUAGCCAGUUGGCAGGGCAACGGCCUACCAAAGCGACGAUCAGUAGCCGACCUGAGAGGGUGACCGGCCACAUUGGGACUGAGACACGGCCCAAACUCCUACGGGAGGCAGCAGUGGGGAAUAUUGCACAAUGGGGGAAACCCUGAUGCAGCGACGCCGCGUGAGCGAAGAAGUAUUUCGGUACGUAAAGCUCUAUCAGCAGGGAAGAUAGUGACGGUACCUGACUAAGAAGCUCCGGCUAAAUACGUGCCAGCAGCCGCGGUAAUACGUAUGGAGCAAGCGUUAUCCGGAUUUACUGGGUGUAAAGGGAGUGUAGGUGGCAUCACAAGUCAGAAGUGAAAGCCCGGGGCUCAACCCCGGGACUGCUUUUGAAGCUGUGGAGCUGGAGUGCAGGAGAGGCAAGUGGAAUUCCUAGUGUAGCGGUGAAAUGCGUAGAUAUAUGGAGGAACACCAGUGGCGAAGGCGACGAUCUGGCGCAUAACUGACGCUCAGUCCCGAAAGCGUGGGGAGCAAAUAGGAUUAGAUACCCUAGUAGUCCACGCCGUANACGAUGAGUACUAAGUGUUGGGAGUNAAAUC